GGAGGGGCCGUACGGAGGAGCGAGUGGAAGCAGUUCAGAGUACUCCCGGGACGCCGUGAACACACACACGUGUUCCCUAAAGCACAGUUCCCACCUUGUAGCUGUGGUUUUUCUGUGGUCGUGUUUAUCACAGCUCCGUAAGUGAGGGUCCUUCUUAUUGAAAAUGUAAGUAGCUUCACCUUCUGGCCCGGCUCUAGGGAUCAGAAACGUUGCAGACACGGCUCAGAUCCCAAGUGGCUGCGGCUGUGGCUGUGGUGUAGGCCGGUGGAUGUAGCUCUGAUUCCACCCCUAGCCUGGGAACCUCCACAUGCCACGGGUGUGUCCCUAAAAAACCAAAAAACCCCCAAAAAACAAGAAAACAAAAAACCAACCAAACAAACAAAAAAAGAAGCAGUGGCUGGAAUGUGGCUGUCUGUACAGAACACAAAGCAAGGUGACCAGUUGCUUCCAAGACCUGACUGGGGAAGCCAGGAUCCUGCUCCGAGCUCUGGGGACACCAGCUGUCCUCUGUCCAGCAGCAGGGUCAUAACUCAGGCAGCCUUCCUGUGGCAGCAGGGAGCGGGCAGUUGUCAUGGGCGAACUUGGCGGUGGCGGGGGGGACCUUUCCGUCAGGUGUGCAGUUUUCCACCUGGCCACGUCCUCCCCUCCCUUCUGCCCUGACCAGGGGAGGGCUGCCCUGUGAUGCUGUGGGUUUUGAGCGAAGCAGAGCCUUCUGUUCAUUUCAUCUUUGGGGACUGGUGUUGGACUCUCUAUAUCAUUUUAUGAGUUUGCCGUAUUUCUAAGCUUUCUAGCAUGAAGUUUUUGCAUACUUUAAUAUGCUGCAUUUCCUCAUCCCCUGACUCAGUGGCUCGGUUCUUAGGAGCGUGUGGCUGGGAGCCACGUGGAGUGUUGUGAUCUGCGUCAUGUGUGCUUUGUCAGGCGUGCAAGGAACAGCUUUCGGGAGGAGAUGGGAGGUUUUGCUUUCAUGUGACAUCAUGGAACGGACAAGUGCUUUUUUGGCUCAUGCAGUGGGACAUGGGUUGGUGGUUAAACGAGGGCACCGUGGCUGGUCGUAACUUAACGGGCAGCCUGGCCAAAUAGUGAGCUGUUUGACACCCAGCCUGGCCUGGCCAGUCCCGUGAUGCCAGCCUGGACGGUCUUCCGGGGGUGGGGGAUGGGCUUCUCACAGCGGCCAGGGGCUGGAAGCAGGACACACCCUGACCACCUGGCCCAGCCUGGUGAGCCCAUCUUUUCUCCUGUGGAGCCAUCCUGGGCUGUUGUCCACCAGCAGGCCGGUGCCUGGAAGCCCCCGGGAGAGGCUGGCCCUGGUUCUUCUCGGGACGAGUGAUGGAGACGUUCCAUUAGAGGCCCGGCUGUGUUUCCAUGUUCCCUGCAGACUGCCUUCUGCUGGUGGAGGUGACUGGCAGGACGCAGCACUAAACGGUCCUUUGCGCCUCCAAGGGCUGGUUGCUGGAGAGCCAGACAGUGUAACCAUAGGCUCUUGAGGCCUUCGACGCCUUUGCAGCUUUGGGGAGACGCUGUAUUUGCAUUGGCUUUGCCCGCUGUAGCAGACACUCUCUGGCCUGGACCGCACGAAGUCGCAUCUUGGAUAAGUGGAGGUUUUGAGAUGGCAGAGAUCAAGCGCUUGCUUUUAAGAUGGUCCAGUGAGAUUUGCCUGGUGAAUCUGAUCGCAGGUAGGAGUCUGUUAAGUUGUUGUGCGUACAGCAUCCGUUCAACCUGGAAAUCCUUAGCUGCAGACGUCUCUGGUAAAGCCAAGACAUUUUAGAGACACUUACAGACACUGAAUUAGACCAGUAUGAUUAUUCAUCCAUUCACCUUGCUGCAGCUUCUCUGACACUGGUCAGCUCAAGGCACGGCCCAGGGAGAGCCAAGAGCAUCCUAAUGCAUAUUCCAAAACGGGAAACUCGCUCUGAAAAUCUGAAUUGAAUAAAGGUGAAAGCAGGUGGCUUUUGGGAACUGAGCCUGAAACACUGAAUCUCCGUGUGAAAAACUGAUGAGCACACCCUGCAGAAGGCUUUCUAUCGACCCCACCUGUGUGUUAUGUUGAGGAAGCGUCCACUCCCACAGGUGAGAAGUUUGUGGUCACGGCAAAGCCAUGGGCUUUAAAGGGGCCUCCUGGCAGGGUCUCUAGAGGGUUGGUGGUUCCUGCGCCUCCCUAGAUGUUUUUGGGUGAGGAGCCCCGUUAUCAGGAGGCUGUUCUGCUGCCACUGAAGUGGCAUCUUUUCUACCUUAAGUAGGUGAGAGAGGUUACCGUUUCUCAGAGGGAGUUAGGUUUUGUCUAAUUUUUAUAUUAUUUAAAAAGACACGUGGGAGUUCCCGUGUGGCACAGCUCCAUGUGCCACGGGGUGGCCAAAAAAGAAAAAAAAA
rnacentral:lncRNA from 1 species